rnacentral:rRNA from 1 species
UACGUAGGGUGCGAGCGUUGUCCGGAAUUAUUGGGCGUAAAGAGCUUGUAGGCGGUUUGUCGCGUCUGCCGUGAAAAUCCGGGGCUCAACCCCGGACUUGCGGUGGGUACGGGCAGACUAGAGUGUGGUAGGGGAGACUGGAAUUCCUGGUGUAGCGGUGAAAUGCGCAGAUAUCAGGAGGAACACCGAUGGCGAAGGCAGGUCUCUGGGCCACUACUGACGCUGAGAAGCGAAAGCGUGGGGGAGCGAACAGG